rnacentral:rRNA from 1 species
UACGGGGGGGGCAAGCGUUGUUCGGAAUUACUGGGCGUAAAGGGCUCGUAGGCGGCCAACUAAGUCAGACGUGAAAUCCCUCGGCUUAACCGGGGAACUGCGUCUGAUACUGGAUGGCUUGAGUUCGGGAGAGGGAUGUGGAAUUCCAGGUGUAGCGGUGAAAUGCGUAGAUAUCUGGAGGAACACCGGUGGCGAAGGCGGCAUCCUGGACCGACACUGACGCUGAGACGCGAAAGCGUGGGGAGCGAACAGG